AACCCUUCUUUCGUUUGAUCCGCUUCUUCCUUCGAUUUGCUUCUUCCUUCGAUUUGCUUCUUCGUCAUUUAUGCUACAUGUUUUGAAAUCGAAAAUUUUCUUGCGCCCAUUGUCGAUGCUAGCGGAAAUCAGGAAGCACAAACAACCAUAAAUAAUUGCACAGGAAAAUGGUUACAUAACCGACAAAUAUGUUGUAAAUAGGCAUCAACCAUACUAGAACGAGUUGAUUUUGAUCUCAUGCAACAAGAUACAAACCUAGAUAACAACAAAGAUUGUAAGUGAAUUAUGGUAUGGGGUAUGUUAUCUAAAUUAACACCCUAUUUACCUUUGUACCUGCUAGUCUGGAUGGGUGUUGGUUUUGGAUGUAAUGUUUGUUGUGCAACAAGUUUAACGAUGAAUAUUCAUUUUGAAAGUAGUAGUGUGCAACAACUUGUGCAGGGUGUUUGUAUACUAUUUUUGUAAAUGAUGGAAGCUAUGUUGAGAGCUCUUUUUGUAAAUGAAAAGUAGUGUCUGGAUUGUGUUUUGGCCAAGAAAUAAAAUUUUAAAAUAUUACA